UACGGGGGGGGGCAAGCGUUUGUUUCGGAAUUACUGGGCGUAAAGGGCGCGUAGGCGGCCUACUAAGUCGGACGUGAAAUCCCUCGGCUCAACCGAGGAACUGCGUCCGAUACUGGUGGGCUUGAAUCCGGGAGAGGGAUGUGGAAUUCCAGGUGUAGCGGUGAAAUGCGUAGAUAUCUGGAGGAACACCGGUGGCGAAGGCGGCAUCCCUGGACCGGUAUUGACGCUGAUGCGCGAAAGCCAGGGGGAGCAAAACGGGG
rnacentral:rRNA from 1 species